GGUUCCGGCUGCCGCCGGAUCAAAAGGGAACGGGGUGAGAAUCCCCGACAGGACCGCUGCUGUGUGGGUGAGCGAAGCGCACAAAGCCAUUGGCAAUCGCCGAGAAGGCGCGCAAGCGAUGAGCCCGAGCCAGAAGACCUGCCCGUGGACCA
rnacentral:ncRNA from 1 species